rnacentral:piRNA from 1 species
UCCUCUGUCAUUUCCAGAAGGCUGUCUA